rnacentral:lncRNA from 1 species
GAAGACUGAAGUUGCCAACUGAAGUAUCAGUUGAAGAAUCAGUCUUGAACUGAUUACUUAAUGCAUGCCAUGUGGAUUCAGCAGACUGAUACUAAAGUCAAGUAUCAGUUAAACAUUCUUCCUCGGAACUGAACGUCCAACGUUCAAAGGAAGCCACGUACUCCAAAAGUACAGCCGCAUUAAAUGCAGAGAUCUCAGGAUCAUCCUUCUCUGCAGAGGUCAUUCCUAUUUGGUGGCUACUUUAUCAGAGACGUCGCAUCUCCUGCUCUUCAACAUAGUCGUUCUCACCAAACAAGGAACCUCGAAGAUUGAAGCCUCAGCCCAAAUUCAAAAAGCUCUCCAACGGAAGAAAUCUUGAAGACGUUCUCCACCAACGGAUCUAUUCAAGACCUCUCCUAUAAAUAGCGCUCGAGGAUCACUUCAAUCUUCACCGAUUCAACAACAUAAGCUGAAACUCUGCCAAAAUUGUUUCUCAGCCAAAGCUUAACCUCCCCAAAGCUUGAAUCGAAGAAGAGAAUACCAAAGCCAAAAAUCAGUCACUGCUGAUUACAUACAUUCUCUUAGACCUUAGGCAAACCCCUGUUUAUCCAGAGCCUAGGUCAAAACUAACUCCAAAGAACUUGUUCUUUGAAGUUUAGUUGGCAAGAUUUCAAACCUCCCUUCGACCGAUAGAAUCGAGUGUUUGAGUUGAAAAGAAGUUCAGGAAGGUACUCUGACUCUGUGAGAUCCUAGUGCCAGUUCGUGCUAGGAGUGAGAAAUCCAACGCGAGUGAAGUGUUGGUACUGAAGAUUGGAUCUUCAGUUGAUUCGGUUGUGUGCACCCGGCUAAGCACACAGAUUCAGUUUACAGCGCACCCGUAAGCACUUGCGGAGUAAAGUUGUUGGUCUGAUCAACCGACCGUGGAUGUAGGAAGUGUUUUCCGAACCACGUAAAAAUCUCUAUGUUAUUUACAGCUUUCAGUUUUACUUUCCUACUUGUGUUCUUACUUUUGAUGAGCUGAAUACUAAUUAAAUACAAAGAGAAACCUAAGACUAACAACGUGCUCAACAAAGGUUAUUACGAAAUAAAAGUAUUUCCGCUGCGUAUGUUAUCAGUCUGACUUAUCAUCUGAUAGUCAGGCAGAUUUAUUACAUCUCUGCUUUCGCAAACUCAACUGAAGCCUUAACGUGCAUCAGUUAAGUUCCAGUGACUUAACUGAUAACUCAUUACUGAAGAGAAUUUCAGUAUCAGUCGUCAACACUGUUUGGUCAAAACUCUUUUCAGUAAACAGGCGUCUUAGUUUGUGUGUAAAGUUUCGUUUUGAUCUCUAUCUUGAGAUCCCUCUGAUUUGUGAAAAAUAGCCUAUAGGUGUAUUCCCCCCCAUACACCUAUUCGAGACCCUUCGGACCUAACAAUUGAACAAAACAAUCCCCCACCAGCACCAGACCAUUCUAGCUCCUUGCUUAUCCUGCACAUUUAGAAAUUCAUGCAGGGCGUGAGUACAUAAUACUCAGCGGGCAUACACCGAAAAACAAUAAAAGCUGCUCUUAGAGCUAUAGAUUUGAACUUUCCACAACAUAUCAAUACACAAGGAUUAAGCGUAAAAGAACCUGUGCAAGCAGAUUAAAAUCGCAAACAUCAUAAAUAAACAUCAUUCUGCAUUUUCACAAUUUAAAGACUUCACCAGAUUCACUCCAGAACUCUACUGGGAUCGAAACUCAUACCAUUUGAAAUCUCUUUGAGUCUAAUUUCAUUUAAAAAAAAGUAGGAUGAAAAACUCCAAGUAGUUUAGAAGAUAUGGCUGUUUUCCUACGGUCUACCAUAUUCGGCAGUUUUGAGCAAUCUCACAUUUUGAUUUUUGAAAAAUAGUAAACGUUUCCGAAAAGGUUUAAAAUUUGGUGGGUAGUUAGAUAACGCACUAAUUUCUUCACCAUAAAAAUUUGGAGCUCAAAAUGGUAGGGGAAGCUACUGAAAAAGGUGACUCUCAGGGCUGCCCUUCAAAACUUUCGGCAGAAUGUGGCAGUUGGGGUUUUACAUUUUAUAAAAAUAGUAACCAAAGUCCAAAUGACUUGAAAUUUUCCCAGUAUUCUCACGCCUCUCAUAUAUACUUAUCAUAAAAUUUUCAUAGUAUUUGGGUAAUAAUAACCUCACGAAACAGUAGGUACAAAAGGGUUAAGAACGACUCCACACUCAACAUACAAGCAAACAUGCUCAAACUCCAUACAUCUUUAAUGAAAACUCUUCAAAACUCAAAUUAAACUCUUAUAACACUCAAGAACAUCAAUGCAUGAUCAUUUGACUCAUGACAACUCAAACUCGACUUUUCACAUCAUACUCAAAUCUCAAACGAAAGUUUCAAAGAACGAAACAUUUCAUCUCUCAUUACAAAUUCAUGCUCAAUUAUACUCAUUUAGUUAUAUAUAAUUUCAUGUAUGACAUAACUCAACACAUUAGCAUAGAUUCCUUUUUAUCAUGCAAACUAAACUCGGAGCAUACUCACGUAUCAACGUAGACUCUCAAUUAACGCAUGACAAAAUCUUACAUAAUAACCAAAAAGCAUAUAAAUAUCUUUAAACCAAUCAUUGACUUCAUAAUCUAGGAAUACCCAAAACUUAUGUAAACUAAACUCAAUCAAAAUCUCAUAUAGGUAACAUUUGAUCAAUUAAAUCUUUCUUAGCCACUAUUAGCAUGCUCAAUUACAUUUAUCUUAAGUCAAUUCACAUAGAUAACACAUAGGCAUGGAAGUCCUAAUUUUUUGUUAAACUAAACUUUUUGAAAUUUCACAAAUGCACAUCAAUCAUUAAUCUAUCCUUAGAUUUAUCAAAUUAAACCAUUUAAUUACUCAUAUAAACCAUCAAUUUACAAUUUAGGACAUAGAUACACAUAUCCCUAAUUUUCAUCAAACUAACUCACAUCAACGUCAUCAAUUAACAUCACACCCACAAUCUACUCCAUCAAUCAUCAUCUUAGACAGCUCAUAAUCUCAUACUCAUCAUCAAUUCCUCAUUUAAGACAUAAACUCAAAAAUUCCAAAUUUUUAGGCUACUAACCUAAGCAAAAAUUUGCAUCACAAGACCAAACUUUGCAAUACACACAUCAAUCAUCUCAAAACACCUCAUUAUACAUAUUUCUCAUCCCAAUUUAAGAAAAGAAAAAGAAAAAUUUUUGAAGGGGAAAGACUCCUUUUUUCGAAAAUUAGGGAAAAAAAUGGUAGGGGGUGUUUUCAUGCUUCAAUCAUGCAUAUACACACAUAUCAACCUCAAAUAUGAUUAGAUCUAUAAAUAUUCAACACUUACUCAAGAACUUUAAGAAAAGUAGAAUUUCUUUUCUCUAAACUUCAAGCUCAAAACUCUACUAAUCUCUUUGAAUCAAGUAUAGAAAGUGUUUAGGGUUUGAUUUAGUGAAGGAUUUUUGCAUAGAUGUGAUUUUAGGAAAGCUUGGAAGGUCUCUCCAAUGGAGAUUAAUGGAGGAAAGUGAGAGGUGAGGGAGAGAGAGAGAGGGGCGAAAGUGAGGUGAGAGAGAGGUGAGAGUAUUUUCUUUGAUUUGCUAAGAUACACUUUG